CCUACGGGAGGCAGCAGUAAGGAAUAUUGGUCAAUGGAGGCAACUCUGAACCAGCCAUGCCGCGUGCAGGAAGACGGCCCUAUGGGUUGUAAACUGCUUUUGAACUAGAGAAAACCUUGGUACGUGUACCGAGUUGAUAGUAUAGUUAGAAUAAGCAUCGGCUAACUUCGUGCCAGCAGCCGCGGUAAGACGAAGGAUGCAAGCGUUAUCCGGAUUCAUUGGGUUUAAAGGGUGCGUAGGCGGACUGAUAAGUCAGUGGUGAAAUCUCUCAGCUUAACUGAGAAACUGCCAUUGAUACUGUUAGUCUAGAGUACAGAUGAUGUGGGCGGAAUAUGGCAUGUAGUGGUGAAAUACUUAGAUAUGUCAUAGAACACCGAUUGCGAAGGCAGCUCACAAAACUGUAACUGACGCUGAGGCACGAAAGUGCGGGGAUCAAACAGGAUUAGAUACCCUGGUAGUCCGCACCGUAAACGAUGAUUACUCGUUGUUGGCGAUAUGACAGUCAGCGACCAAGCGAAAGCGAUAAGUUAAUUCACCUUGGGGAGUAGCCGGCACGGUGAACGUUCAAUUGAAUUGACGGCUUGGNGAGNGCGAGGACGACACGAGGAGGUAGG
rnacentral:rRNA from 1 species